rnacentral:rRNA from 1 species
AGCCUUGCUCCCUGAUGUUAGCGGCGGACGGGUGAGUAACACGUGGGUAACCUGCCUGUAAGACUGGGAUAACUCCGGGAAACCGGGGCUAAUACCGGAUGGUUGUUUGAACCGCAUGGUUCAAACAUAAAAGGUGGCUUCGGCUACCACUUACAGAUGGACCCGCGGCGCAUUAGCUAGUUGGUGAGGUAACGGCUCACCAAGGCAACGAUGCGUAGCCGACCUGAGAGGGUGAUCGGCCACACUGGGACUGAGACACGGCCCAGACUCCUACGGGAGGCAGCAGUAGGGAAUCUUCCGCAAUGGACGAAAGUCUGACGGAGCAACGCCGCGUGAGUGAUGAAGGUUUUCGGAUCGUAAAGCUCUGUUGUUAGGGAAGAACAAGUACCGUUCGAAUAGGGCGGUACCUUGACGGUACCUAACCAGAAAGCCACGGCUAACUACGUGCCAGCAGCCGCGGUAAUACGUAGGUGGCAAGCGUUGUCCGGAAUUAUUGGGCGUAAAGGGCUCGCAGGCGGUUUCUUAAGUCUGAUGUGAAAGCCCCCGGCUCAACCGGGGAGGGUCAUUGGAAACUGGGGAACUUGAGUGCAGAAGAGGAGAGUGGAAUUCCACGUGUAGCGGUGAAAUGCGUAGAGAUGUGGAGGAACACCAGUGGCGAAGGCGACUCUCUGGUCUGUAACUGACGCUGAGGAGC